rnacentral:rRNA from 1 species
AUGGCGGCGACGCAGCCGUCGGCGGACGUGGAGGGCGCGCUCCUCGCCCACCUCAACGCCAACGGCGAGAUCCCCGACUCGCGCGCCCUCGCCUCCUAUCAAGAGACUCCGCGCCUUCCACAUCAUCGAGAGCACGGUACGGACAUCACCAGGGAGGCGUGGGUGCUCACCGACGAGGCCAAGGGCUACGCCGCCGGGGGCUCCCGCGAGGUGCAUCUCGUCGCGGCCAUCCCGCCCGAGGGUGCCUCCAGGGCCGCGCUCAAGGAGGAAUUCGGGGACGUCGUCUUCGAUAUUGCACGGAAGGCUGCAGCCAAGAACAAGUGGAUUAGAUUUGAGAGAGGGAUCGUGCUGAGAACGGAUGAGGUGCAAGAGCAGCUUAAAAGACUGGAGAAAGGGAAGGUUGUUCCUGAUCUAAUAAAGGAGUUGAAGAGAAGAAAGCUUGUAACAAAAGAAAAAGUUAUUUGGUAUUCACUGAAGAAGGGACCUGAAUUUGUUGUAAAGAGAAAAACGUUGGCUACCGAUGUGACACGAGAACAUCUCAAGAGUGGCGACUGGAAGGAUCUGGAAUUUAAAGAUUAUAACUAUGAAGCUCAAGGGCAACCUAUUGCGAUAGGAUACAGUCAACCCUUGUUGGAGGUCCGUGAAGCAAUCCAGAACAUUUUUCUUGAGAUGGGGUUCAGUGAGAUGCCUACAAACAUGUUUGUAGAGAGCAGCUUCUGGAAUUUCGAUGCACUGUUCCAGCCACAACAGCAUCCUGCUCGUGAUUCGCACGAUACAUUUUUCCUCAAAGCCCCUGCUACAACAACACAAUUACCUGAUGACUAUCUUGAGAAAGUGAAGCAAGUCCAUCAAUCUGGUGGUUAUGGCUCCAAAGGGAACAUUUUGCUCCUAACUCCUAAGAGAUACUAUUCUAUUGAUCGUGUUUUCUGGAAUGAAGCUGUGGACCGAACUCAUCUUGCAGAAUUCCACCAGAUAGAAGGUCUUAUUUGUGACUAUGGUUUGACGCUUGGUGUUCUGAUAGGUGUACUGGAGGAUUUCUUCUCCAGGCUAGGCAUGUCAAAGCUGCGCUUCAAACCUGCCUACAAUCCAUACACUGAACCAAGCAUGGAGAUUUUCGGCUACCAUGAAGAUCUGAAGAAAUGGGUGGAAAUAGGCAACUCGGGCAUGUUCAGACCUGAAAUGUUACUUCCCAUGGGACUGCCAGAGGGUGUUAAUGUUAUCGCAUGGGGUCUUUCACUUGAAAGGCCAACAAUGAUUCUGCGUAACAUUGACAACAUACGGAAGCUCUUUGGGCCAAAGGUCGACUUCAAAGUGAUUAAGGACUGGCCGAUUUGCCGCGUGGGGAUCAGCUGUAGUGAGCCGGAUGGGACUUUAGCUGGAGGUAACAUGACUGACAUGCCAUGUUUGAGUUGA